rnacentral:rRNA from 1 species
GUGGGGAAUAUUGGACAAUGGGCGAAAGCCUGAUCCAGCCAUGCCGCGUGUGUGAAGAAGGUCUUCGGAUUGUAAAGCACUUUAAGUUGGGAGGAAGGGCAGUAAGUUAAUACCUUGCUGUUUUGACGUUACCGACAGAAUAAGCACCGGCUAACUUCGUGCCAGCAGCCGCGGUAAUACGAAGGGUGCAAGCGUUAAUCGGAAUUACUGGGCGUAAAGCGCGCGUAGGUGGUUUUGUAAGUUGGAGGUGAAAUCCCCGGGCUCAACCUGGGAACUGCCUCCAAAACUGCAUGACUAGAGUACGGUAGAGGGUAGUGGAAUUUCCUGUGUAGCGGUGAAAUGCGUAGAUAUAGGAAGGAACACCAGUGGCGAAGGCGACUACCUGGACUGAUACUGACACUGAGGUGCGAAAGCGUGGGGAGCAAACAGGAUUAGAUACCCGGUAGUCC